rnacentral:tRNA from 1 species
GAUUAAUUAGUUUAAGUAAAAUAAAAAUUUUGUAAGUCUUAGAAUCUAAAAACAUCA